rnacentral:lncRNA from 1 species
UGUAAAUUAACAGGCCAAAUCUACUUAUAUAUUUUCUCUUUCACCAAGACCAGAAGGUACAUUAUUUAGGCAUUACUGGUAAAAUUUGGGAGGGAAGUGGAAUAGAACACAGACCUAGAAUCAGGAAGAUCAGAAUUCAGAUCCCAUCUCAGACACACCUACUAAUGGUUUGGGAAAAGUCAAUUAACCCCUUUUACCUCAGGUUUCUCAAAUGUAAAAUUAGCUGGUGAAGAAAAUGGCAAAACAUUUCAGUAUCUUUUCCAAGAAAACCCUAAAUGGACUUCCAAAAAGGAGGACUCCUGAACCCCCGAGACAUCCACUGAACAUAGGAAUAUUUCAAUUGUUAGAAAUCUUUAAUUUACAUUAUCUAAAUUCUCCUCCUAAAAACUUUGAUCCAUUAUUCCUAGUUUUUCCAUUUGACGUCAAGCCAACAAGGUUUUUCACCAGUAACAAUUCUUCUAAUAUUUUAAUAAAACUAUCAUUUCUUCUCUGUAGGUUCACUCUUCCUUAUAACUUCAAUAAGUAUUCAAAUUGCAUGAACUCAAGACUCUCCACAAUCCUUCCAGCCCUCAAGAAGCAGAGCUAUUUACUGGUUCACUGGAACUAUUUGAUGGGUGUUUAA